ACAGAGAAGUGCUUGCACUUUCAAAGUUAGCGGCGGACGGGUGAGUAACACGUAAGGAACCUACCGAUAAGCGGGGGACAACAUCCGGAAACGGGUGCUAAUACCGCAUAGGAAGUUUGUUCGCAUGAACAAACUUAGAAAGAUGGCUCUGCUAUCACUUAUCGAUGGCCUUGCGGUGCAUUAACUAGUUGGCGAGGUAACGGCUCACCAAGGUGAUGAUGCAUAGCCGACCUGAGAGGGUAAUCGGCCACAUUGGGACUGAGACACGGCCCAAACUCCUACGGGAGGCAGCAGUAGGGAAUCUUCCGCAAUGGACGCAAGUCUGACGGAGCAACGCCGCGUGAGUGAAGAAGGUUUUCGGAUCGUAAAACUCUGUUGUAAGAGAAGAACAAAUUGUAGAGUAACUGCUACAGUCUUGACGGUAUCUUACCAGAAAGCCACGGCUAACUACGUGCCAGCAGCCGCGGUAAUACGUAGGUGGCAAGCGUUGUCCGGAUUUAUUGGGCGUAAAGGGGGCGCAGGCUGCUUCUUAAGUCUGAUGUGAAAGCCCACGGCUUAACCGUGGAAGUGCAUUGGAAACUGGGAAGCUUGAGUACAGAAGAGGAAAGUGGAACUCCAUGUGUAGCGGUGGAAUGCGUAGAUAUAUGGAAGAACACCAGUGGCGAAAGCGACUUUCUGGUCUGUCACUGAC
rnacentral:rRNA from 1 species